GGGUGCUUAGCUCAGUGGUAGAGCGUCUCCCUUACAAGGAGAGGGUCGGGGGUUCGAAACCCUCAGCACCCA
rfam:Stenotrophomonas sp. Leaf70 contig_3, whole genome shotgun sequence.